GGAAAAUUAAUGGGGUGUUAAUUUUGAUGGAAAAAUAUAAAUGGGUUAUGGUGGAUUUGCCAGCACCAAGAUAACCAAUGAUGAGAGUGACACCAACGGAAGAUUGUUGAGAAAUGGAUUCAUCGUUGUUAUGUUGUUGAAUCUCAACAGCAAGAGGUGGUUCUUCUUCAUCGUGUUCCAUUUUGGAGUUGUUGUCUUGUUGAUGUGUUUGUUCUUGUGGCAGAAAGGGUUUCGAAAUUAGAAGUGGAACAGGAAAAGCUUUAAUUCAUUGAUGUUGUUGGAAGCUUGGUAAAUGAGUUCAAUUUAUUAUGUGGUGUUUGAAUUUAUGAUGGUUUAAAUUUUGUAAAUUUUAGAUUUUUUUUUUUAUUUUUUAUGAUGAAGGUGAUGAAUGUUGCUGCAUUUAUUGAUGAAGAUGACGAACAUUGUUGGGUUUGAUGAUGAACAUGAUGAAGGUUAAUGUUUUUUCCACAAGAUUUGACAGAAUGGAUUUAAUUGAUGGACGGAGAUAAUUUAAAGGAUCAAAUUGGG
rnacentral:lncRNA from 1 species